AGACGACGUGAGCAUCUUCCAAUCUUUCUUCUCACGGUCACCUGCCCAGCUCCUCUAUCCUUCUACCCUUCCUCCAAAUCAAGCCACAAACCCUAGACCUCUUCCUCUGCGCCGCCCCUCUGCUCCUUUCUGCUGCUCCACAAAAAUCAGAGAGGGACAUUGAGAGAAAGUCUUCAGUUUCAUCAGACAAAACCGCUAAGAAAUCCUGCCGGAGAUCGCCGUCCUUGCCGUCGUUGUUCGCCGCUGCUCGCUGCGCCGAGCGCGGGGAUGGAGCCGCCGUGGUGCCCUCUUCCUCCUCGCUGAACCGGAGCCGGAGCUGCUCAAGAACGCCGCCGCCGCCAAGACGUACCUGGUGUGCCGCCGUGCACGCCGACGACCUCCGCUUCGCCCCGCCGUCGUCUCCAUCCUCCCCAACUUUUCUCCCUUGACGUGUUCGUCGUUGUGCCACCAGAGGCGCAGCAGCGUCGAUCUUGGUCGAGUUUCGCAGUUUCCUUCAAAGGACCGAGCCCCUCUCUUCAGUUGGCUGGCUGGUUACAUCUGCACCAUAGACGUCGGUACCGAGGAGUACGGCGAGGAGUACGACUACUACCUUGAGGAGGAUCGUGUCGGUUUCUCUUCUUCU